CGUACACUCCUGCGGGAGGCAGCAGUGGGGAAUAUUGCACAAUGGGCGCAAGCCUGAUGCAGCCAUGCCGCGUGUAUGAAGAAGGCCUUCGGGUUGUAAAGUACUUUCAGCGGGGAGGAAGGCGAUAAGGUUAAUAACCUUGUCGAUUGACGUUACCCGCAGAAGAAGCACCGGCUAACUCCGUGCCAGCAGCCGCGGUAAUACGGAGGGUGCAAGCGUUAAUCGGAAUUACUGGGCGUAAAGCGCACGCAGGCGGUCUGUCAAGUCGGAUGUGAAAUCCCCGGGCUCAACCUGGGAACUGCAUUCGAAACUGGCAGGCUAGAGUCUUGUAGAGGGGGGUAGAAUUCCAGGUGUAGCGGUGAAAUGCGUAGAGAUCUGGAGGAAUACCGGUGGCGAAGGCGGCCCCCUGGACAAAGACUGACGCUCAGGUGCGAAAGCGUGGGGAGCAAACAGGAUUAGAAACCCGAGUAGUCCCAU
rnacentral:rRNA from 1 species